rnacentral:rRNA from 1 species
UACAGAGGGUGCAAGCGUUAAUCGGAAUUACUGGGCGUAAAGCGUGCGCAGGCGGUUUUGUAAGUCUGUCGUGAAAUCCCCGGGCUCAACCUGGGAAUUGCGAUGGAGACUGCAAGGCUUGAAUCUGGCAGAGGGGGGUAGAAUUCCACGUGUAGCAGUGAAAUGCGUAGAGAUGUGGAGGAACACCGAUGGCGAAGGCAGCCCCCUGGGUCAAGAUUGACGCUCAUGUACGAAAGCGUGGGGAGCAAACAGG